rnacentral:rRNA from 1 species
UACGAAGGGGGCUAGCGUUGUUCGGAAUUACUGGGCGUAAAGCGUGCGCAGGCGGCUAUCCAAGUCAGUGGUGAAAGCCCGGAGCUCAACUCCGGAAUUGCCAUUGAAACUGUUUAGCUCGAGUACGAGAGAGGUGAGUGGAAUUCCCAGUGUAGAGGUGAAAUUCGUAGAUAUUGGGAGGAACACCAGUGGCGAAGGCGGCUACCUGGACCAGCACUGACACUGAGGCACGAAGGCGUGGGGAGCAAACAGG